ensembl:snoRNA SNORA70 Small nucleolar RNA SNORA70
UUUCUUUAAAAAAAAUGUAUUAUUCCUCUUAGGCCGGGGGACAUGGGGGCUGGUGAGCAAUGGCUGCAAACAGCAACCUCCUUGAUAGUAAAUGCAACCUGUUACAUGUAUGGGUUUCCCUAAGGGAUCUUGGAGACAAUU